rnacentral:rRNA from 1 species
CGUGGGUAACCUGCCUCAUACAGGGGGAUAACAGUUAGAAAUGACUGCUAAUACCGCAUAAGCGCACAGCAUCGCAUGAUGCCGUGUGAAAAACUCCGGUGGUAUGAGAUGGACCCGCGUCUGAUUAGCUAGUUGGUGAGGUAACGGCCCACCAAGGCGACGAUCAGUAGCCGACCUGAGAGGGUGACCGGCCACAUUGGGACUGAGACACGGCCCAA